rnacentral:rRNA from 1 species
GACGAACGCUGGCGGCGUGCUUAACACAUGCAAGUCGAACGGAAAGGCCCUGCUUUUGUGGGGUGCUCGAGUGGCGAACGGGUGAGUAACACGUGAGUAACCUGCCCUUGACUUUGGGAUAACUUCAGGAAACUGGGGCUAAUACCGGAUAGGAGCUCCUGCUGCAUGGUGGGGGUUGGAAAGUUUCGGCGGUUGGGGAUGGACUCGCGGCUUAUCAGCUUGUUGGUGGGGUAGUGGCGUACCAGGGCUUUGACGGGUAGCCGGCCUGAGAGGGUGACCGGCCACAUUGGGACUGAGAUACGGCCCAGACUCCUACGGGCGGCAGCAGUGGGGAAUAUUGCACAAUGGGCGGAAGCCUGAUGCAGCGACGCCGCGUGCGUGAUGACGGCCUUCGAGUUAUAAACCGCUUUCGCAUGUGACGAAGCGUGAGUGACGGUAAUGGGUAAAGAAGCACCGGCUAACUACGUG